rnacentral:rRNA from 1 species
CUGACACAGGGAGGUAGUGACAAUAAAUAACAAUGCCGGGCCUUUGUAGGUCUGGCAAUUGGAAUGAGAACAAUUUAAACCCCUUAUCGAGUAUCAAUUGGAGGGCAAGUCUGGUGCCAGCAGCCGCGGUAAUUCCAGCUCCAAUAGCGUAUAUUAAAGUUGUUGCAGUUAAAAAGCUCGUAGUUGGAUUUGUGGUGUAUGCAGGCGGCCCGUCACUAUGUGAUGGAGUCUGCUUGCGUCGCCAUCCUUGGGUGGAUCCUGUGUGGCAUUAAGUUGUCGUGCAGGGGAUGCCCAUCGUUUACUGUGAAAAAAUUGAGUGUUCAAAGCAGGCUUACGCCGUUGAAUAUAUUAGCAUGGAAUAAUAAGAUAGGACC